rnacentral:lncRNA from 1 species
UGCAUGACUUUUUACUGACUCAUUUGUCAAAACACUCUGACAUUAUCUAUGUAUGAUCAUUUUAGAGAUUGAGGAAAAUAAACUCAAGAACUGGUGACUUGCCCAGGUCACACUACUGGUGGGUAGCAAAACAGCAGCUAGAAUCUAUAGCUUCUGGCUUUCCAGCCAGUCCUUGUUCCACUACAUUCAUUACUUCUUUGCUGGACUGAAAAGCUUAGGACUUUUCCUGUAAGUAAUACGGAGCCAUUGAAGAUCUGAAGUUUCAAGGAAGUGGUAGGAUGGAUUCUCUUUUACUAUAAGCCCUGUGCCCAUCCUGCUGUGAUUCAGGAGUCUCGCAGAAGACAUCAGAAUGCCUUUCUCUGAGUCACAGUCUGUAUCUUCUAGAAAAGGCUGUCCAUCUUCACCCCAAGCCCACUGGCUCCUGAGAUACGACAUCCAGACCCAGUGCAGCUGGACCUGGCCCAGGAAGAUCAUGCGGUUUCUGGGAAGCACUGGAGAAGGAAAAGGCUGAAGAAAGGAAGACCGGAAAAGAAAUACAAGUCCUUCCGCCUUGGCAAAGAUGAUAGUACCGUUCCCUUCAGUGUUCCGGUUCUGCUCUAUUGGAUAAGUUCCGGUUUGACUAUGACUACGUGAAAAUGUGGAACCAGACCUUCACCCCACAUUCCAGCUCCAGCUCUACCACAGAGGAAGUGCAAUAUCACCUUAGUUAUUCAACACAUUAUGCUCCUCGUGAUACAACCAGAGUUCACAUCAGCAAUCUUGGCAGCUCUCACCACGCUGCUGACUCACGACUCUCUCAUGUCCCAAUUUCCUGUCCAUUGUUCUUUCCUCUACUUGGCCUGAUUUCUAAAGGCCUCUCUUGGUUGCAUUAAGCGGGAUUCCUGAGGGAUUCCCUUGGCAGUUACCUUGGGGGAGCUCUUAGGUUUGGGGCUGAUCCAUGUCCUCUAAAUGUAGGACUUCAAAGCUCCCAAAGAUAGGCAGGCCCAGUGGGAAGCUGGGAAAUGCUCUCUGACCCCUCUGGGAGGGCUGGCAGUCAGAGGGCCUUUUGGAAAGAGUCAGACCUGAUCCAUAAGUCCCUGGAAAACACCCUGCCCAGGGAGCAAAUGCCACUGUGGCCUUGACUGAGGCUUCAGAAGAGUUUGGGAGCUGCAAUUCAUCCACACACGCAUUCAUUUUCAAGUAGUGGUUUGCAGUUCAGGCUUUGGAGCCACAUAAGCCUGGCUUCAAAGCCACUUUCCAGCUUUGUAGGAAGUCUCUACAUUUUUAAACCUCCAUUUUUUUUUCCUGUAAAACUGGGGUCUUCAUGGUACUUAACUUCAUCGUGAUGUUGAGAGAAUGAAAAGAAAAAGGAUAAAUAAAUGGCUUAGCCUCGUGCCUUGGCACAUA